CAGGAUGAACGCUGGCGGCGUGCUUAACACAUGCAAGUCGAACGAUGACCCCGUGCUUGCACGGGUGAUUAGUGGCGAACGGGUGAGUAACACGUGAGUAACCUGCCCCCGACUUUGGGAUAAGCCCGGGAAACUGGGUCUAAUACCGGAUAUGACUUCUUACCGCAUGGUGGGUUGUUGAAAGAUUUAUCGGUGGGGGAUGGACUCGCGGCCUAUCAGCUUGUUGGUGAGGUAAUGGCUCACCAAGGCGACGACGGGUAGCCGGCCUGAGAGGGUGACCGGCCACACUGGGACUGAGACACGGCCCAGACUCCUACGGGAGGCAGCAGUGGGGAAUAUUGCACAAUGGGCGAAAGCCUGAUGCAGCGACGCCGCGUGAGGGAUGACGGCCUUCGGGUUGUAAACCUCUUUCAGUAGGGAAGAAGCGAAAGUGACGGUACCUGCAGAAGAAGCGCCGGCUAACUACGUGCCAGCAGCCGCGGUAAUACGUAGGGCGCAAGCGUUAUCCGGAUUUAUUGGGCGUAAAGAGCUCGUAGGCGGUUUGUCGCGUCUGCCGUGAAAGUCCGAGGCUCAACCUCGGAUCUGCGGUGGGUACGGGCAGACUAGAGUGAUGUAGGGGAGACUGGAAUUCCUGGUGUAGCGGUGAAAUGCGCAGAUAUCAGGAGGAACACCGAUGGCGAAGGCAGGUCUCUGGGCAUUUACUGACGCUGAGGAGCGAAAGCAUGGGGAGCGAACAGGAUUAGAUACCCUGGUAGUCCAUGCCGUAAACGUUGGGCACUAGGUGUGGGGAACAUUCCACG
rnacentral:rRNA from 1 species